rnacentral:misc_RNA from 1 species
UCCGGCUCUACGCCGACAGUCUCUCUAGAGUCCCCGCCAUGACGCGAUGGCAACUGACGACAGGGGUUUCGCUCGUUAGGGGACUUAACCCAACACCUCAAGGCACGAGCUGACGACAGCCAUGCAACACCUGUGCAGGUUACGCCCGAAGGCAAUCCCUCGGCUUUCACCGAGUUAAUCCCUGCAUGUCAAGCCCUGGUAAGGUUCUUCGCGUUGCUUCGAAUUGAGCAACAUCCUCCACCGCUUGUGUGAGCCCCCGUCAAUUCCUUUGAGUUUCAGCCUUGCGGCCGUACUCCCCAGGCGGGGCACUUAUCGCGUUAGCUGCGGCACCGAGGGGGUCGCUCCCCCCGGCACCUAGUGCCCAUCGUUUACGGCGUGGACUA